rnacentral:sRNA from 1 species
ACGUGCGGAGGACAGAGUUUGUUUCCAUCGGCUUCCUGUGUCCGGCCUAAGGUUCGAGAGGGAGAGGCUACGUUGCCUCAUACCGAGGUAGGCCUAGGCCCACGGGCUACGUGACGUUCUUUAGUUUGCCCGAUCGCUGCUCAAUGGCUUGCCUGGAGUACUCGUGUAUAUACAUGUAUGUAUAUGUGUAUAUGUAUAUGGAUGGAUGGAUGGCCGUACAAGUAACCAGCCGAGUCAAACCUGCAGAGAACAAGCAAACCCCGACAGAAAGCCCUGACUCAGCAGCUUCCGCGCGGAAACCUGCUUACCUAACGCCUGCAGCACAAAAGCUGACGACGCCUGCCAAGACCGUGGGCAGCCAAGACCGCUCGCUGGCUGGGUGCGCUAGGCCGGAAGAGGCUAGCUCGAGCGUGUCCCACAGGGGGAUUCGUCACUGCCCGUGGCCAUUACGACGCCCGGCGGCCCAUACGCGGUUUGUGGUUUGGCAGACGCUGAUACCGAGGGGGAGAGAAGGGAGAGAGAGAGAGAGAAGGGAGAGUGAGAGAG